rnacentral:rRNA from 1 species
AGCAGUAGGGAAUCUUCGGCAAUGGGGGCAACCCUGACCGAGCAACGCCGCGUGAGUGAAGAAGGUUUUCGGAUCGUAAAGCUCUGUUGUAAGAGAAGAACGUGUGUGAGAGUGGAAAGUUCACACAGUGACGGUAACUUACCAGAAAGGGACGGCUAACUACGUGCCAGCAGCCGCGGUAAUACGUAGGUCCCGAGCGUUGUCCGGAUUUAUUGGGCGUAAAGCGAGCGCAGGCGGUUUAAUAAGUCUGAAGUUAAAGGCAGUGGCUUAACCAUUGUUCGCUUUGGAAACUGUUAGACUUGAGUGCAGAAGGGGAGAGUGGAAUUCCAUGUGUAGCGGUGAAAUGCGUAGA